rnacentral:rRNA from 1 species
ACCCUACGGGAGGCAGCAGUAGGGAAUCUUCCACAAUGGACGAAAGUCUGAUGGAGCAACGCCGCGUGAGUGAAGAAGGGUUUCGGCUCGUAAAGCUCUGUUGGUAGUGAAGAAAGAUAGAGGUAGUAACUGGCCUUUAUUUGACGGCCAUUUCUUAGAAAGUCACGGCUUACUACAUGCCAGCAGCCGCGGUAAUACGUAGGUGGCAAGCGUUUUCCGGAUUUAUUGGGCGUAAAGCGAGUGCGGGCGGUUCAAUAAG